AGUUCUCAUGAGAUAUAGUUGUUUAAGAGUGUGUAGCACCCCCACCCAACUCUUGCUCCUGCUCCCGCCAUUUGAGACGCUUCUCUCCCGCUUUGCUUUCUACCAUGGUUGUAGGUUUCCUGAGGCCUCCCUGGAAGUAGAAGCUGCUAUGCUUCCUGUACAGCCUGCAGAACCCAGGUGCUCAAUUAAUGUCUGGGGAGAAAAGGAAGUAAGAAAAGGAAGGAAAGAAGGAAUGAGGAUGGCCAGGCGGGGUGGCUCACGCCUGUAAACCAGCACUUUGGGAGGUCGAGGUGGGCAGAUCACGAGGUCAUGAGACUGAGACCAUCCUGGCUAACACGGUGAAACCCUGUCUCUACUAAAGAUACAAAAAAUUAGCCGGGCGUGGUGGCGGGUGCCCAUAGUCCCAGCUACUCGGGAGGCUGAGGCAGGAGAAUGGCGUGAACCCGGGAGGCGGAGCUUGCAGUGAGCCGAGAUCGCGCCACUGCACUCCAGCCCGGGCGACAGAGCAAGACUCCGUCUCAAAAAAAAAAAAAAAAAAAAAAAAAAAGGAAAGAAAAAAAAAAGAAAAGAAAAAGAAGGAAUGGAUGAGGUAAUCCUCCCAGCGGUAUGUCAGGACACUCCUAAGACACAAAGUCUGCAGAGCGGUACUUUUCCUAGGGUCUCCACCCUCACCCUGAUCAUAGGCGUGCAGCGUGCAGUCCCACCCUGUUUCAGCGACUGCCACUUAACAAUCUGCCCUAAAACUUGGUGCUUAAAUCUACAACCUAUUUUCUAUUACAUGUAUUAUAAAUUAUGUACAACUUACAUAAUUAUAAGUUUUAUAUAAUGAUGACAUCUAUUAUUUCACAAUAUAAUGUAAUUACUUAUUUCCACAUCUGCCUUGUGAGACUGUGAAUCUCACAAUUAAUUUAUAAUAAGUCAUAUAUUACAUAUUAUAUAUAUAAUAAACCUAUCACAAACUAUUGUAUCUCUUGAUUUUGUGGGUCAGGAAUUUGGAAAAUUUUUUCUGCUCCUCACUGGUGUUGCUGGAAGUCGCUCCACAGCUGGCAGAUGAGCUGGCUGGGAAGAUACAAGGUGGCUGCACUCACUAUUGGGGGCCCUAGCUCGGAUGCCUGCCAGGCUGGGCUCAGCUGGGACUGCCUCCUACACGUGGCCUCUCCAGCAUGGUGACGUCACGGAAGCCUCAGACUCCUCACACAGAUGCUGGAUUCCCCGGAGGGAGUGUUUCCAGGGGUCCCCUGCAGAAUCAGCAAGCAACGCUUCUGACACCUGCCUCGGAAGGGCCAGAGCACCUCUGCUGUUGUGGUCCAUUGGCAAGCCAAUCACUAAGGCUGGCCUGUACUCAAAGGAAGAAUUAGAUCCCACCUCUCCAUGGGCCGCGCAGCAGAUAAUUCGGGGUCUUGGUUAAUCUACCAUGUUCUUUCUCUCCACUGCAGGUGUGUUAAACCGGAGGCCACUGGGUCUCUUGGACAACUAGCAGUGAAUCUGUGAAUCCCCUGAGUGCACAGUUUUAAAUAAAUGUGCAAAAUGUGCAUUUUUUUUUCAGGGAAAUCUGAACUAACAAGAUUUUGAAUCACUCACCAAAUGGCGGUCUUCCUUUUAACUGAGUCUUAUCUCAUCCUACUACAAAAAUUUCCCAAGAAAAUGUGAAGAGUCUUGAUACGGAGCUCAGGCAGUCACGUGAGUGAAGGGGAGCGGCUGUAAACACAGAUGAAGC
rnacentral:lncRNA from 1 species